AUGUUUAAAGUAAAAUCCAAAAAAAGAGAAAAAAAGAUAUCAUCAAGAACCUCGAUCAGCUGCUCCUCAGGGAGAUUCAAUCCUGGAGAGACAGAGAAUUCUAAUAGAAGCAACCGUCAAAUGGUUAUGGUUUUGUCAAAUGUUUAUGGUUUUCUAUUUAUGUUCUCAGGUCUGGAAGCAGCUGGAAGUGACACAGACAUCUUCAUAGUGAAUGGGAUUCUGGGGGAGUCAGCUACUUUUCCCUUAAAUAUCCAACCAUCACAGAAAGUUACCUUCAUUUCUUGGCAUUCCAAAACAUCUGUUGCUUUUGUAACACCAGGAAACUUCGGAGAAGAACCCAUAGUUACCAUAACCCACCAAAAUUACCAUGAACGAAUAAAUGUCUCAGGUCAGAACUAUAACCUGGAGCUCAGAAAUCUGAAGAUUGAAGACUCAGGGAUCUACAAAGCUGACAUAAAUGUAGAGACCUCUAAAACGACCACCACCAGGUCCUACAACCUUCAAGUUUAUCGUCGUCUUGGGAAGCCAAAAAUUACUCAGAGUUUCGUGACAUCUGUGAACAGCACCUGUAAUGCCACACUGAUGUGCUCUGUGGAUAAAGAAGAAAAGAAUGUGACAUACAGUUGGAGUCCACGAGGGGAAGCGGGCAAUGUUCUUCAAAUCUUCCAGACCCCUGACAACCAAGAGGAGACUUACACAUGUACAGCAUGGAAUCCUGUCAGCAACAAUUCUGACUCCAUCUCUGCCCAGCAGCUCUGUACAGACAUCACAAUGAGCCCCCAUAUUCACCGCACUGGACUGAUGAGUGGGCUGGCUGUGCUUUCUCUGCUUAUAAUAAUUCUUUCAGUGGUUUUGUUCCUUUUGUGCAAGAAAGAAGGUUCCUUCUUGAACAACUUCAGUAAGAACCCUGAUGCUUCCUCAAAGAAAACAAUAUACACAUACAUCACAGUUUCAAGAAAAACCCAGGCAGCAGAGUCCAGGAUCUAUGAUGAGAUCCCCCAGUCCAAGGUGCUCCCCACCAAGGAGGAGCCAGUGAACACAAUUUACUCCAUGAUGCAGUACUCUGAUAAGAUGGAGAAAACCAGCACUCAGAACAGCAAACCGCUUGGGACUUCAUGCUAUGAAAUUGUGAUCUAGGUUUCCAGAUGGAAUUCUCCCCACAGAAACUGAGCUGCAACCACACAUACUGGCAGAUGAUCCAGACCUAGACUUGCUCUGCCCAGAUCUUACCCAGAGAUUACAGAUCACCAGAUUCCAAAUGUAAGCAAAGAAGGAGACACUCUGUUGCUGGGCAUAACUUGUACUGAAAUAGACAAAUGCAUCAUGCCCUUUCUAAGAUGCCUCACUUCCUAACAAAUAGCAAGGCAGAUCCCUUGGCACAGUGCUUCUCAUCCUUCUUCACACUGCAACACAUGGAGAAAAUAAUUUUUAUGAUAAAAUGGAAUAAACAAUCAAGAUUG
rnacentral:lncRNA from 1 species